rnacentral:rRNA from 1 species
UGCCUUACACAUGCAAGUCGAACGGCAGCACGGGAGCAAUCCUGGUGGCGAGUGGCGAACGGGUGAGUAAUAUAUCGGAACGUGCCCAGUCUGGGGGAUAACGUAGCGAAAGCUACGCUAAUACCGCAUACUAUCUAUGGAUGAAAGCGGGGGAUCGCAAGACCUCGCGCGAUUGGAGCGGCCGAUAUCAGAUUAGGUAGUUGGUGAGGUAAAGGCUCACCAAGGCGACGAUCCCUAGCUGGUUUGAGAGGAUGAUCAGCCACACUGGAACUGAGACACGGACCAGACUCCUACGGGAGGCAGCAGUGAGGAAUAUUGGACAAUGGGCGCAAGCCUGAUCCAGCCAUGCCGCGUGCAGGAUGACGGUCCUAUGGAUUGUAAACUGCUUUUACACAGGAAGAAACAACGCUACGUGUAGCGUCUUGACGGUACUGUGAGAAUAAGGAUCGGCUAACUCCGUG